rnacentral:rRNA from 1 species
GAUGAACGCUGGCGGCGUGCCUAAUACAUGCAAGUCGAGCGAACGGACGAGAUGCUAGCUCUACUGAUGUUAGCGGCGGACGGGUGAGUAACACGUGGAUAAUCUACCUAUAAGACUGGGAUAACUUCGGGAAACGGGAGCUAAUACCGGAUAAUAUCUUUAAACGUAUGGUUUAAAAGUGAAAGAUGGUCUUGCUGCACUCUAUAAUUGUAUCCCCGCUGAUUUAGUUAGUUGUUAAGUAAACGGCUUACCAAGGCAACGUUGCAUAGCCGACCUGAGAGGGUGAUCGGCCACACUGGAACUGGGACACGGUCCAGACUCCUACGGGAGGCGGCAGUAGGGAAUCUUCCGCAAUGGGCGAAAGCCUGACGGAGCAACGCCGCGUGGGUGACGAAGGUCUUCGGAUCGUAAAACUCUGUUAUUAGGGAGGAACAUAUGUGUAGGUAACUGUGCACAUCUUGACGGUACCUAAUCAGAAAGCCACGGCUAACUACGUG